GGUGACUAGGGAGAGAGGGGGUGAUUAGUGACAGAGUGAGGGAGGGGGUGACACAGUGACAGAGUUAGGGAGGGAGUGACUAGUGACAGAGAGAGGGAUGGGGUGACUAGUGACAGUCACCCCCCCUCACUCUGUCACCAGUCAUCCCCUCACUCUGUCACUAGUCACCCCUUCCCUCCCUCACUCUGCCACUAGUCACCCAUUCCCUCACUCUGUCACUAGUCUCCCAUUCCCUCCCUCUGUCACUAGUCUCCCCCUCUCCUUCACUCUGUCACUAGUCACCCACUCCCUCACUCUGUCACCAGUCACCCCCACUCACUGUGUCUCCCCUCACUCUGCCAC